UUUCAGAUUCCACCACUGGUUCUACCGACGUGGAAACAACAGUUCCUGAUUUCAUCCCAGUUUCCACUGAUGCAGAAACUGUCUUGUCGACAAUAACCGGAUUUGGCAAGUAUUCAGCAUGUACCAGACAUUUUGAACAUUGUAUAAAAUGCUGAUUUGUAAAGUAGCAAUUUACAGUAUACGUCAAAGACACUUGAUGCAUGAAUUUAUCAGCAAUGAAUGACAUUGUAUCUUUUGCCGCUAACAUUAUUGAAAACAUCGAUUUGAAAUGGCCUUAAAGCUUGAAGAAUUCCAAUCCACCAGGUAAACUCCUUGUGUAGAGAUUGGAUUAUUGUCCAAUAUCUAAACUGCCCUUGGCAUCGGAAGUAAGUUUGUUAUUUUAUGUAGUUAUUUACAAUUAUUAUGACAUACCCUAUAAAUGCAUACACAUGCGCAUAUAUAUAUGUACAUAUACAUUUCUAAUGUUAACAAUUGUCCCACAUACCAUUGUGUACCGUGAGUAGGAUCUAAUUUGAUGCGAUUUCGAAUGACUUCUAAACAUUACAUACAUCUGACAUCUGUCUACAUAAUCAGAUUUGUCUUGUUUGAUAUGCCGCUGAUUAAGGUGUUAUCAGUAGCACGUGGAAACAGUCAUCAUUCUCAUAUAGCUUGCAAUACGAGUCAACUGAAUCUUUGUAUGAUACUGAUAAAUUAUAAAGUUGUGAAUUUUACUUAGGAUCAACUUGCAUACCAAUUUACUGUUAGUUAUUGUCUCAAAAGUGGCAUAUCAUCAUGCAAUUAGGAAGAAUGAUGAUACCUUUAUACAAUUCAAAUAAAUUUCCGUAAUGUAAUAUAUAUCAUAAAACAGCAACAACUUGUUUUCAUUCAUGUAUUGAAAUCCAUCAAACGAACACACUGUAUAAAAUGAAAAGUGAUCAAUUAGAACAACUCACAAAUCAAUCAAACCACGGACGAUUCACAAAUGAACUGCUACCUAGAGACCAUAGGAUACAUGUAUCCCUGUCUUCAGCACUGAUGGACCUUUAUAUCCAUAUAUUCAACUCUGGUGUGUAUUUCCAUUCCAUUUGUCAAUGCUGGUGAGUAAAACUAUUUUUCUCUCUAUGGAAUAUGCUACUAUAAAGCAAAACAUCCUUCACGUACCUAUGUAAAAUGUUACACGUUUACUUGUUAUGUACAAGUUCACCUUUUGCUUGGUGUCUAUAAGGUAUAAUUUUACUCGGUAUGUAUUUAUGAUGUCAUACGUUUUCUCGGUAUAUACAUGGUAUACGUUCACUUGGUAUGUUCAAGUUCUACUUUUACUUUAGUUAUAAGUGUACUCGGUGUGUAUAAGGCAUGCGUUUACAUCGUCUAUACAAGUUAUUCGUGUACUCGCUGUGCGCGUAUUUUGUACGUCUGGAGAGAUGAGGGAUCGAAUAAAAAAUCACAUUAUUUUCAUGUUUAUUACACUUAUUACAAUGACGACAAUAAUCACAAACAUGGAAUCCGGUAAGUUUUAAAUAUUAUUUUAUUAUUUAUUUCUAUUAUCGUAUUUGAACAUUUCAGGAGAUCAGAAAAGAUGUGACUGUUGGGUAAACAAUGGCGUGGUCUGCUGUGGGGUUUUUCUUUGGAUCGGUGUCAGAUACUGACGGGCGAAUUAGGGUUGCUGGUUUUUCAUACCGUUUGUUACGCCGUUCUUGAUAUACUGAUUUUGCCUGUGGAUUGCUUUGCUUACAUGGUCAAGAUAUAAGACACACGGCAGAUUAAAAUCCAGACACACAGAUGGGAUUCGAGCAUUCUACAUUCCGCACAUAAUUCAGAAGCUCUAUCCACU